rnacentral:lncRNA from 10 species
AUUAGAGCUGGGCUUGGUGGCUUGCAUCUACAGUUCCAGCUACCCAGGAGGCAGAAGCAGGAGGAUUGCUUGAGCCUAGGAGUUCGAGGCUGCAGUGAGCUAUGAUCCUGCCACUGAAUUCUAGCCUGGGCGACAAAACAGGAAAAAAGUAUGGAUGGAGGACCAGCAGCAUCUGUAUCACCUGUUUGGAAUUUCAGCUGGGCAGCUUCGAUCCCACCACCUGUAGCCACUGAGGUUCACAGGCUCUGUUUGAGGUGUUGUGUUAGAUUGUGCUGGGUUGGUUUUGCUGCUUAUUGAGUGAUGAAGAGCAACAUAUUAGCUACUGAGAUAUUUUGCAGAAAAAGGAAGAGAUGUC